GGGGUUGUGGCUCAGUGGUAGAGCGCUUGCCUACCAUGUGUGAUGAACUGGGUUCAAUCCUCAGCACCUCA
rfam:Ictidomys tridecemlineatus contig033485, whole genome shotgun sequence.